GUGGGGAAUAUUGGACAAUGGGCGCAAGCCUGAUCCAGCAAUUCCGCGUGAGCGAAGAAGGCCUUCGGGUUGUAAAGCUCUUUCGGCGGGGACGAUAAUGACGGUACCCGCAGAAGAAGCCCCGGCUAACUCCGUGCCAGCAGCCGCGGUAAUACGGAGGGGGCUAGCGUUGUUCGGAAUCACUGGGCGUAAAGCGCACGUAGGCGGCUACUCCAGUCAGAGGUGAAAGCCCGGGGCUCAACUCCGGAAUUGCCUUUGAAACUAGGUAGCUUGAACGUCGGAGAGGUAAGUGGAAUUCCGAGUGUAGAGGUGAAAUUCGUAGAUAUUCGGAAGAACACCAGUGGCGAAGGCGACUUACUGGACGACUGUUGACGCUGAGGUGCGAAAGCGUGGGGAGCAAACAGGAUUAGAAACCCUAGUAGUCC
rnacentral:rRNA from 1 species